AACGGCCAUAUCACGUUCAGACACAGGUUCUCGGCAGAUCACUGAAAUUAAGCAACGUCGAGCCCGAUCAGUACUUAGGUGGGUGACCACUUGGGAAUACCGGAUGCUGUAAG